rnacentral:lncRNA from 1 species
GUGGAUUCAUUUAUUUUCGUGGAUAUCAUUUUUCGUGGAUUGAGAAAAACUUGCAUGUUCGUGGAUAUUUUAUUUCGUGGUUUUGUAAAACUUUGCAGAUAAGCCUAUAAUAAAUUUGUUAUUCGUUGAACAUUUGAUUUCGUGGUUCACCUGUACCCACGAAAUCCACGAAAAUUGAUAUCCAACGAAUAAUAAUGAAUCCACAGUA